rnacentral:lncRNA from 1 species
AUAAAAAUAAAAAUUCAACUCAACUAACCGUCUUUACAAGAGCUGUGAAGCGGACGAUGAAAACCCUAAUUGGCAACUAAAAUCAACAAGCAGCUAAUCACAAUCACGAAAUCCUUAACCUCAGUUACAAUCAAAGGAAUACAAAAAAAAAAAAGAAAAAAAAAAAACCACUCUAGUCAAUUAAGAAAAGAAGACCUUAAAAUAAAAAGUUUCUAAAAGCAAAAUUCACAUUCUCAAUAGCAUCAGAGUCCAUACAUAGACCCUUCAACUCCACGCAAAAAAAAAAACAAAAAAAGCAAAAAGUAAGAACAAAACAGAGAAUAUGGAAUUGUGAGGCGGUAUAACAUAAAGAGAUCUCCGAAUCCCAAAAUAGAAAAUGGUAAACAAAUAAAAGAAUCACAACAUAAAGCAUAAAAGGAACAUUCAAACAGAAGAUAAGAAAAAGAAAGUUAUUAAACAAAAAGAAGAAAAACUAACAAUAAAAUUCCGUACGGUGUAUUCUGUACAAGAAUUCUUAGGGUUUGGAUUGAAAGCUGAAGGCAUGCUUCUUCUUGUGUCUCUGUUUAGGAAGGAUUUUGAGUUUGUUUCUUUCUCGCUCUAGAAGCUUUAAAAUAAAUAAUAUGUUUAUAUAUAAGAAAUCAGAAUUAGAAAUUUCAGUAGAGCUCGAGCGAACGAUCAGAGCUCGAGCUCUUUCUUCAUUCUCUCUCUAAGACAGCAAUUUCUCUCUCUAAUAUCUCUUUUUCUUAGUUUGGCUGUGUCAUGUGCGUAUAGGGUGGCUCUGCAACUAAAAGAGCUUAUUAGCAGUACUAGCUUUUCUUCUUUUCUUUUUCUUUUCUUUUUUUCUUAUUACUCCUUACUUUGCCUUUUUUUUUUUGUGCGUGUACGGGUGAGUAUAGCAGGUGGUGAAGGAGGGAAGACUCAAAGAGAGAAGCGGGGCGGUGGGGCCCAUAUUCUUCGGGUCUGGUCCCACUCUGUUUCUUCUUUAACCUACACUUCUUU